GCAUUGAUGUUCAUGGUGUCACGGAAGUGAGGGCUCAGUAGUUUGUGGAUAGGAUGGAUCACGCUCAGCUGCCGAUUCGUUGCAAUCACAAAAGGUUCCAUCACUGCGUGAGUGUUCAGCCAAUGACUGAUGAGUUGGUGAACGCCAGAAUCGUUGACAGCAACAAAGGCCUUGGCCAGAUCCCAAAUAGACUUCUCAACACCAGAGUCAGCAAAUUUUGGUGGGGUAUAGACUUUGCUCAAAGGACCAUGUUGCUCACCCUUCAUGUGUGGUAAGCUCAGCUCGAUUGCUAUGGGUUUGAGCGUGCCGUCGUCCUUCAGGAAGAGGAGAGUCCUCGUUGCGUAAAUCUUGUUAUUGGUAUGUGUAUUUAUACGGUUUAAGUAUGGCAUCAAGGUGUCGUGGUGGUCUAAGAUGAAUAACCUUUCCUUCUCCAGUGCCUGAUCUACUGUUAGACCAUCCAUGUUAUUGAUUAUAUCGGCUGCAGUGAUCGAGCUUUCAUGGUUCCCAUAUUCUUCGGGGUCAAGCUUGCUGGUUGGAGGAAACUCCUUGAGGCGCUGAAUGAUGACAGGGUUCAGUCCGGCAAGCAUUUGUCGUCCAAAUUCUUCGUCAUUCCUCCAACCAUUAGUGUCCUCUUGAAUAAUUUGCGGAAGAGGAAAAGUGAGGCGAUUGCCGUCGAACCUGAGAACCUCCUUGACCAGCUCAAAGGGUAUAUCCUUCCAAAACUCACGAGGGAUAUCCGGCAACGGCAGUCCAUCCUUGUACAGAGCAAGCACCUCUUCAAAUGUGUCAAACGAUCUGUGGGUCAAAUACCCCUUUAACCCAGGCAGCAGUCCUUCAGCAAAUGACUUCAGAGCAAAGGCGAGGAAGUCUGAGAACUUGAGGUGCCCGAACCGCUCGUCUCUGGGCACAUAGAUGUUGAGGCCAGCA
rnacentral:misc_RNA from 1 species